CCGGCGACCGGCGCACGGGUGAGUAACACGUAUGGAACCUGCCCGCAGCAGGGGGAUAAGCGGAAGAAAUUCCGUCUAAUACCGCGUAACAACGUUGGGAGGCAUCUCCCGAUGUUUAAAGAUUUAUCGGCUGCGGAUGGCCAUGCGGCGCAUUAGCUAGUCGGCGGAGUAACGGCCCACCGAGGCGACGAUGCGUAGGGGUUCUGAGAGGAAGGUCCCCCACACUGGUACUGAGACACGGACCAGACUCCUACGGGAGGCAGCAG
rnacentral:rRNA from 1 species